rnacentral:rRNA from 1 species
UCGCGGCCUAUCAGCUUGUUGGUGAGGUAACGGCUCACCAAGGCAUCGACGGGUAGCUGGUUUGAGAGGAUGAUCAGCCACACUGGGACUGAGACACGGCCCAGACUCCUACGGGAGGCAGCAGUGGGGAAUAUUGCACAAUGGGCGCAAGCCUGAUGCAGCGACGCCGCGUGGGGGAUGAAUGCCUUCGGGUUGUAAACCCCUUUCAGGAGGGACGAAGCGAAAGUGACGGUACCUCCAGAAGAAGCCCCGGCCAACUACGUGCCAGCAGCCGCGGUAAUACGUAGGGGGCGAGCGUUGUCCGGAUUUAUUGGGCGUAAAGAGCUCGUAGGCGGCUCAACAAGUCGGCCGUGAAAGCCUGAGGCUCAACCUCAGGACGCCGGUCGAAACUGUUGUGGCUAGGGUUCGGUAGAGGAGAGUGGAAUUCCCGGUGUAGCGGUGAAAUGCGCAGAUAUCGGGAGGAACACCAGUAGCGAAGGCGGCUCUCUGGGCCGACACCGACGCUGAGGAGCGAAAGCUAGGGGAGCAAACAGGAUUAGAUACCCUGGUAGUCCUAGCCGUAAACGUUGGGUACUAGGUGUGGCGGAUUCAUUGACAUCUGCCGUGCCGAAGCUAACGCAUUAAGUACCCCGCCUGGGGAGUACGGA